UAUUAGAAAUUUGAUAUAGGACAUUUGACUAUCCUUGUAGGACCAUUACCAAUGCCAUCUUUGCAGAGUGUGUGUUCAUUGAGGUGAUCAUGGGUAUCU